UUUUAUAUAAAAUUUUGCGUGUGUGUGUUUUUUAAAUGACUCGAAAAAUGGAACACAUUUAAGCAUAUUCAUAAAUGUUGUCUUUCAAGAGUUUUACCUGCAAUGCGAACAGAACAGAACUGACCCAAUCAAGUGCUGCAAGUAAUUAAUGAAAUGUAAAUUUUGCAGGUGAUUGCAGAGACUUGCCGUUGAUAAGGAGAAUGGAUUCGCGAUAUAUAGUAUAUAGAGGCAUACAGGAGCUGUUUAAUAUUAAGAUUUAGUAUUAUGAUAUAUGUAUAUGCAUAUUUAUAUAAUUUAUUUUGCUCCAUAAGAAACAAUGUUUUUAAAUUUUAGCUUCAAUAAAAGAAACGAAUUGAAAUGCUAAAAAUUGUGUUUUUAUUUCACAGCCUAAAAUUCAAAUUUGAAUAAAUACGUUGCAUCGGCUCUCGGGAAGUACCAGACGAGCAGAAAUCAGUUACAGGGUGAUGUUAGUUUAAAUUUGGGCAUGAAUAAAAUUUACAUAUACAUGACACAGUAAAUUCCAAUGUUAACUUAAUGUCAACUAAUUAAUAUUGGUCAUUACUGGUACAUUUGAAAAAGCGUUAAAUUAUGAAUUCUCAACGUCCGCACUUGCCACGUGAGGCUUUGGUUGAGGCUUUUCUUCUUUAAAAGUAUCAGGCGAAGAGAAAUGAGUAGUAAGAUGACUCCACUAUAAAUUAACAGUUUCAUUUGAGAUUUUUAACUAAACAUGCCUAAAAGUAUGCAAUAUAAUAUUCACUGUUAGUUAACAUUUCACUCUUAACUCAAGGUCAAAUUAAUGUAAACUAAAAUUUAUCAUGCUGCUGGUUAUUUCUGUUCGCCUGUUACUUUAGGGAAAUACAGCUUCUCUUUGAGGCUAUGGCCACGAUGUUAUUUAACAUAUUGGGAUGGCUACAGCGGAAACGUUGCUGCUGCAGCUUAUUCCAGCUGGAAACAAAGAUGCCGUAUCAGGCGAAGAGAAAUGAGUAGCAAGAUGACUCCUCUUUAAGUUUACAGUGUCAUGUUAUUUUUUAAUCGAGCAUGCCUAAAAGUAUGCAAUCUAAUUUUUCUGUUAACUAACAUUUCACUCUUAACUCAAGGUAAAAUUAAUGUAAACUAAAAUUUAUCAUGCUGCUGGUCAUUUCUGUUCGCCUGGUACUUUAGGGAAAUGCAGCUUCUUUUUGAGGCUAUAUCCACGAUGUUAUUUAACAGAUUGGGAUGGCUACAGCGGAAACGUUGCUGCUGCAGCAUAUUCCAGCUGGAAACAAAGAUGCCGUAUCAGGCGAAGAGAAAUGAGUAGCAAGAUAACUCCUCUUUAAGUUUACAGUGUCAUGUUAUUUUUUAAUCGAGCAUGCCUAAAAGUAUGCAAUGUGAUUUUUUAUGUUAGCUAACAUUUCACUCUUAACUCAAGGUCAACUUAAUGUAAACUAAAAUUUGACAUGCUGCUGGUCAUUUCUGUUCGCCUGGUACUUGUAUUUUUCAGCAGAUUGAGAGAGAGGCUACACCUGAUAUGUAUGUAAUCCUCUUUUCGCAUGGCAUACAUAACCAAUGAUUUGUGGGUCAACUGGUAGAUCUUGAGGAAACGCCUGAGCAUUCAGGUCGGAUUAGUGAAGGAAAUAUUAUUCAUAUUUCCGUUCACAUUUUGACCUACUUGACUGGCUUAAUCGGACAAUAUCCUUGCUAUGACUGAAACAAGGAUAUAUAGAAGUCACUGGAAACCAGCUCGCUCUAUUGAUCAUCCAAAGUCAAUUGGUAUCAAUUAGCGAGAUGCUGUAGAAUAUAAUAUUUAGAAUAAUAGCUAUAUUUAAGCUAUAUUCAGUUGCCUGAUUUGGCAUUAAUCUAAGCCAACGUUGAAGUUGAGCCUGAACUGAGACUAAUACAUUAAUUGGUACAGUUACAAGCUAUAUGAAUGAUGAUAUCUGUCAGUUAACGUCUUGUUCUGAGUUUUUAAUACUAACUAUAUUAGUUUUCCAUUUAGUCAAUGUGUCCAUGUCUGUGUAUGUAAGUGUAUUUGUGUGGCAUAUACAACUUUGAAUUGCAACGAUUUUCGGCUUUGACUUAACAUCUCUCCAUCGCUCUAUCUCCGUCUCGCUCUGGCACUCCGCGUGGCAUAAUCUAUUAAUACCUUUUAAACUGGGUCACAGUUUCAAUUUUCGUUGCAUUUGACAGCCUAAUAAAAGAUACAUGCGCUCAUACAUGUCAAACUAAACUCUAAACUACAUUUUCGAUGAAUGUCCAUUGAAACGGAAAUGUUUGAAUUUUGAGGUGUGCUGUCAAUGUCAAUGAUGGGGCAUUGAUAUCUAUAGAAACUGGAGGAACGAAAAAUUCUUUGCUGAAACUCUUCUGCUUGCUUGGACGCCAGGUAAAUUGCAAUAUUCAUAAAUAUAAACUCUAGAGAUGAGAUGAGAAUCAUAAGUUGGCUGAAAGCACAUAAGCACAGACCAUAAAAUCAAAAUGAUAUUUUAAGCCAUAAAAAUAAAAGCGGGCAAACGCAACGCAACUGUUGCAUGCAAUCAAAUUGAUGGCAUAUUUUUUAUUAAAGGAAUUAAAUGCGACAGCAUUCAAGUCAAGAACGCAAAUAAAGGACUGGCCCACUGAAGACUGGCCAGGAUAAUGAUAUGCAAACACGAAUUGUCUUUGGACAACAUGCGGCUUCAUUAGGCAAAUAGGCAAACAAGUGUCCUGCGUGGACGGGCGAGAGUCGAACGAUGAUGGAACGUUUCUAUUUUUUACUAUUUCCUUUUGGUCAUUGGAUUUUUUUUUUGUUUUUUGUUGGCAUGGCGUCAUACAGAAGGAGGAUUUCGUCGUGGCAGCACACAUAUUGAAGGCGAAAUUAACACCGAGCAAACAAAUAAUUCUAGUGUGUGUGGAUGGGGCGUGGCGGGGCGAGAUGGAGCGGAGUGCGUCUUGCUGUUGCCCAGAAAACUGAUAUCUAAUUGAGUAAACAGCAAAGUGAAUGGCCAUGAAUUAGCCAGAGGCGUAGUCAUGGACCCAUUGCCAUUAAUUUGCUGAUAUAUGUAUGUAUAUAGGUAUACUAUAUAAAUAUACAUAUAUACACAUCUA